rnacentral:rRNA from 1 species
UACGAAGGGGGCUAGCGUUGUUCGGAAUCACUGGGCGUAAAGGGUGCGUAGGCGGGUCUUUAAGUCAGGGGUGAAAUCCUGGAGCUCAACUCCAGAACUGCCUUUGAUACUGAAGAUCUUGAGUUCGGGAGAGGUGAGUGGAACUGCGAGUGUAGAGGUGAAAUUCGUAGAUAUUCGCAAGAACACCAGUGGCGAAGGCGGCUUACUGGUCCGGUACUGACGCUGAGGUGCGAAAGCGUGGGGAGCGAACAGG